AUUUGUGGAGCAUCACCCUUUGAUUUCAAUCUGAUGUUUUGUGAUUCAGAGCAGUACUUACAGUACUCUGAAGGGCCCUUAAGAGUCGGGGAGAGUAAAAGCAUCUAAGAGCAGAGGUCCGAGAAAGUAGCCUUGAAGAGUCGUACUGCAAGAAUAAGAAAAUAAGAAGUCUUAUGUCUGAAAACUUUAGGCAAACCAUGCAUUCAUUCAUUCUCUUUGGUAAUGUGUUUGCUUUCAUUUUGCUGUAAAAGGUAUUCCCAGUAGUCCAGGUGAGGAAAAAAAAAGAAAAAAUAUUUAGGUACAAUCCGCCAUGAGGAGAUAUAGCCAGUGGUUUUUGUUUGUUUGUUUGUUUGUUUUCCCCCUAUGGUUUUGAGUAACCCUGACACCAAUACCACCAGGGCUCUGAAGCAAAAUGGUGAAAGGGAUCCAAAUGGAAGGAGAUGCUUGGGGUCCUUCAUUAGCCAGCUUGAACUGGGGCAAAUCUUCACACUGUUGCUUCUAUUUCUGAACUGUUUAGACUUUGGGGGAAGGGGUGAGAAGCUGAAUGGGGAAAGGUAGCAAACAGUUCAUCAGAUGAUUAUUUAUAGUUCUAAAACCUUGGAUUCUAGUGAAUAUUGUGGUAAUACGCAAAAUUACUUAAGAUUCUUACUAAAACAUGACAUUUCCUUAGUAGUGUUUCUAAAAAUAAGUACAUGGAAAUUGUAUUUAAGUAAUCUCUGCUACAUUCCAUAUACUCUUAGCAGUCACCAGUCGAUGUGUAGUGAAUGUAUAAAUACUUUUCUGAUGAAAGUAGCUUAAAGUCUUGAUCGAUGUGGAUCCAUUUUAAAUCUUUUCAGUUUUAUGUAACCACAGACUUGUUUCAGGCACAAAAGUAACUAUUUGGACACAAGUUUUCUUCUAAAAUCAGUGAUAGGUUUUCAAAUUCUUGACUAUAUUUUAAGUGCUUUAGGAUAACAAGAAUAGGAAUUAGAAAUAAUUCUUAUUUUUUCAAUAUAGUUGUUACUUAGUUAUAUAUAAUCCUUAUGCUUCAGUGAUUUUGACGUAGGCCCAAACUGAUUGCCAAGAAUUGUUCUCCACUAAAUGAAAAGUUCAGAGAUAAAUUAUUUCAUUGGAUUAGAGAAGACAGUGUACAGUAAACCACAUAUCCCUAAUUUGAGAGAAACUAGCAUUUAGGUUUGAAUAUAGUAAAUGCUUAUCACUAGGUGGAAAGCAACUAGCUGAAAUACACAUUCUUCUUGUACUUAACACUUGCUAUACACACAAAUGCCAACUUGAAAGACAAUGAAUUAUGUUUUCACUGAUAAUUAAUAUUCUUCUGCCGAUUUUAUAAUGUACAUGAGAUACUGGUAAAUAUCCAUUUAAUGCUACAAUGUUGUCUAAAGAUUUUUCUACCUUUAUCUAUGCACCAGAAAAAUUUAAUAAAAAAGUUAACAUCCCUGUUAGUUUUUCUAGAAAUCAGAAAGGUUUUAUUCCUUUCUAAAUAAGAGACAAUUCCUUUUAAAGAUUUCUAGUGUGUCCCCAACC